rnacentral:rRNA from 1 species
UACAGAGGUCUCAAGCGUUGUUCGGAUUCACUGGGCGUAAAGGGUGCGUAGGUGGCGGGGCAAGUCUGACGUGAAAUCUCCAGGCUCAACCUGGAAACGGCGUUGGAAACUGCCUUGCUCGAGGAUUGGAGGGGGGACUGGAAUACUUGGUGUAGCAGUGAAAUGCGUAGAUAUCAAGUGGAACACCAGUGGCGAAGGCGAGUCCCUGGACAAAUCCUGACACUGAGGCACGAAAGCUAGGGGAG